UACGAACUGUGCGAACGUUAUUCGGAAUCACUGGGCUUAAAGGGUGCGUAGGCGGCUGCCUAAGUCAGGUGUGAAAUCUCCCGGCUCAACCGGGAAACUGCGCUUGAUACUGGGCGGCUCGAGUGAGGUAGGGGUGUGUGGAACUUCCGGUGGAGCGGUGAAAUGUGUAGAUAUACGGAAGGAACGCCAGCAGCGAAAGCGGCACGCUGGCCUUUUCUGACGCUGAGGCACGAAAGCCAGGGGAGCGAACGGAGUUAGAUACCC
rnacentral:rRNA from 1 species